AAAUAGGGCAUUUUUGCGCUAUAAACCACUGUAAACCUACCUCGUCCUCGUUGCUUCGGCGGGCGGCUCCCGGGGGAGCCCACCUGGCCGAGUACGGUGCUCGCCGGCAGCGAACUCUCUCUACUCUGAACGUCUCCUCUGAGUGACAUGCUGAAGAGCAAAAAACUAUCA
rnacentral:misc_RNA from 1 species